rnacentral:rRNA from 1 species
CAGGUAGUAGUGGGUGUAGCGUACCUACUAGCCUACGACGGGUACGGGUUGUGAGAGCAAGAGCCCGGAGAUGGAUUCUGAGACACGAAUCCAGGCCCUACGGGGUGCAGCAGGCGCGAAAACUUUACAAUGCUGGAAACAGCGAUAAGGGGACCUCGAGUGCCAGGUUACAAAUCUGGCUGUCGUGAUGCCUAAAAAGCAUUGCAUAGCAAGGGCCGGGCAAGACCGGUGCCAGCCGCCGCGGUAACACCGGCGGCUCGAGUGGUAACCGUUAUUAUUGGGUCUAAAGGGUCUGUAGCCGGCCGGAUAAGUCUCUUGGGAAAUCUGGCAGCUUAACUGUCAGGCUUUCAGGAGAUACUGUCUGGCUCGAGGCCGGGAGAGGUGAGAGGUACUUCAGGGGUAGGGGUGAAAUCUUGUAAUCCUUGAAGGACCACCAGUGGCGAAGGCGUCUCACCAGAACGGACCUGACGGCAAGGGACGAAAGCUAGGGGCACGAACCGGAUUAGAUACCCGGGUAGUCCUAGCCGUAAACGAUACUCGCUAGGUGUCGGCAACGGUGCGACCGUUGUCGGUGCCGUAGGGAAGCCGUGAAGCGAGCCACCUGGGAAGUACGGCCGCAAGGCUGAAACUUAAAGGAAUUGGCGGGGGAGCAC